rnacentral:rRNA from 1 species
GUCGAGCGGUAGCACAGGAGAGCUUGCUCUCUGGGUGACGAGCGGCGGACGGGUGAGUAAUGUCUGGGAAACUGCCUGAUGGAGGGGGAUAACUACUGGAAACGGUAGCUAAUACCGCAUAACGUCUUCGGACCAAAGUGGGGGACCUUCGGGCCUCACGCCAUCAGAUGUGCCCAGAUGGGAUUAGCUAGUAGGUGGGGUAAUGGCUCACCUAGGCGACGAUCCCUAGCUGGUCUGAGAGGAUGACCAGCCACACUGGAACUGA